GGAACACGGUGAAAAUCCGUGGCGGUCCCGCCGCUGUAAUCGGGGACUGAUCCUGCCUUGAAAUUGCAUGGCCACUGUCCGUUUCUUUCGGGCGGGAAGGCUGGCGGGGGAAGGCCGAUCCGAAAGCCAGAAGAC
rnacentral:ncRNA from 2 species